CUCUCAUUUUUUGCCUGCCGCCACCCACUUAGGAUGUGACUUGUUCCUCCUUGCCUUCUGCCAUGAUUGUGAAGAUUCCCCAGCCACACAGACCUGUAAGUCCAAUUAAACCUCUUUCUUUUAUAAAUUGCUCAGUCUUGGGUAUGUCUUAAUCAGCACCAUGAAAACGAACUAAUACAGAUUUUGGUACUAGUAGAGUGGAGUGCUGCUGAAAAGAUACCUGAAAAUGUGGAAGCAACUUUGGAACUGGGUAACAGGCAGAGGUUGGAGUAGUUUGGAGAGCUCAGAAGAAGACAGGAAAAUGUGGGAAAGUUUGAAACUUCCUAGAGACUUGUUGAAUGGCCUUAACCAAAAUGCUGAUAAUGAUAUGGACAAGAAAUCCAGGCUGAGGUGGUCUUAGAUGGAGAUGAGGAACUUGUUGGGUACUGGAGCAAAGGUGACUGGUGACAUUUUGCCCCUGCCUUAGAGAUC
rnacentral:lncRNA from 1 species